AUCAAAUAUUGAAAAUUGCAGCCAAUCAGAGCACAGAAGCCCGCUCCCUCAUCACUUUCGAUGAAGAAUUUGCACAAGGAUGUCGUUUUUCUUCAACUUCCCCAUAUUUCACCUCCAAAAAGCUUAUUGUUGGGUGAUCAGUGAUGCGAUUAUGAAAAAGAUGAGUUGACAUCUAUUCUUGAUGGGCUUUUCUAUCCUUGGUCUUGAAAGGAUAUUUCCUGGGGUCAAAUUAUAAAGCCUUCAUCAUCCUCCGUGGGACAAUAUUGCUCAGGUUACAAAGAAAAUCAGCGAAUUUUCAUGGGGCUCAUUCAAUCGCAACCAUUGAGCAGUCAAUCUUCCUUCUUCUUCUACAUAUUUUUGGAUAUUGAAGAAGAAUUUUCAGAGUGAAUCAGUCAAUUUUCAUCGUAUCAUCUUUCCUGCACAUCUGGCAAUCAAUCAAUCAUUGAGAUCAAUUGGAGUCAGUCUUCCAUCUCUUUCCACCAGUUUCGAUUCUAACCUCUUUUUGGGACAAGAGGCCAACAACCAAAACCAACCAACCAAGAUUCUAUCCUCGAUGGCUUGCGGUGUUUUAUCUUGAAGGACACGGAAUUCUUCAUAUAUUCAAACUUUUUAGAACUCGGUCUAUUUUGACGGUUAUUUUUCACAUUUUCUGAAUGAAAAUUUAACUUGAAAGUAGGGAUCUCCGAGGGCUAAUUAGUUUGAAUGAAUAUCUCCUGGAAGCUGAAAAUUCAUCA